rnacentral:rRNA from 1 species
GCUGUGAAGAUGCAGUGUACCCGCGGCAAGACGGAAAGACCCCGUGAACCUUUACUAUAGCUUGACACUGAACAUUGAGCCUUGAUGUGUAGGAUAGGUGGGAGGCUUUGAAGCGUGGACGCCAGUCUGCGUGGAGCCGACCUUGAAAUACCACCCUUUAAUGUUUGAUGUUCUAACGUGGACCCGUGAUCCGGGUUGCGGACAGUGUCUGGUGGGUAGUUUGACUGGGGCGGUCUCCUCCUAAAGAGUAACGGAGGAGCACGAAGGUUGGCUAAUCCUGGUCGGACAUCAGGAGGUUAGUGCAAUGGCAUAAGCCAGCUUGACUGCGAGCGUGACGGCGCGAGCAGGUGCGAAAGCAGGUCAUAGUGAUCCGGUGGUUCUGAAUGGAAGGGCCAUCGCUCAACGGAUAAAAGGUACUCCGGGGAUAACAGGCUGAUACCGCCCAAGAGUUCAUAUCGACGGCGGUGUUUGGCACCUCGAUGUCGGCUCAUCACAUCCUGGGGCUGAAGUAGGUCCCAAGGGUAUGGCUGUUCGCCAUUUAAAGUGGUACGCGAGCUGGGUUUAGAACGUCGUGAGACAGUUCGGUCCCUAUCUGCCGUGGGCGCUGGAGAACUGAGGGGGGCUGCUCCUAGUACGAGAGGACCGGAGUGGACGCAUCACUGGUGUUCGGGUUGUCAUGCCAAUGGCACUGCCCGGUAGCUAAAUGCGGAAGAGAUAAGUGCUGAAAGCAUCUAAGCACGAAACUUGCCCCGAG